rnacentral:rRNA from 1 species
GACGAACGCUGGCGGCGUGCUUAACACAUGCAAGUCGAACGGAAAGGCCCGGCUUUUGUGGGGUGCUCGAGUUGCGAACGGGUGAGUAACACGUGAGUAACCUGCCCUUGACUUUGGGAUAACUUCAGGAAACUGGGGGUAAUACCGGAUAGGAGCUCCUGCUGCAUGGUGGGGGUUGGAAAGUUUCGGCUGUUGGGGAUGGAAUCGCGGCGUAUCAGCUUGGUGGGUGGGUAGUGUCUUACCAAGGCUUUGACGCGUAGCCGGGCUGCGAGGGUGACCUGCCAAAAUGGGACUGAACUAAGGCCCAGACUACUACGGGAGGCAGCAGUGGGGAAUAUUGCACAAUGGGCGGAAGCCUGAUGCAGCAACGCCGCGUGCGGGAUGACGGCCUUCGGGUUGUAAACCGCUUUCGCCUGUGACGAAGCGUGAGUGACGGUAAUGGGUAAAGAAGCACCGGCUAACUACGUG